AAAUUUACAAUAUAAAUAAUCAUCUUAUUAUUUUAUUUACAGAGCUCAAAGAAAAAGACAGGUACUACAACAACUCGAUGGAAAUAUAGAAAAGAUUUAACUUCAGAAAAUUGUCAACUUCGAACUUGCGAUGUCACACAGACUACCUUCAAAAAAGUGCCACAAGGUCUAGAUUUAAUUACGCCUAUGGCACAUAAGAAUAAGUUUGCAGAGUCAACUAAUGGGUUUAAUUCAACCUAUUGUCAGGGAUUAGAAAGUGAAGAAAAAGAGUAUACUGUUACUACGGAACCGGAAGAAAUUAUAUCCGAUAAACACGUCGGAAGGAAGAUUGUGGCCAUAUCUCAAUUCACGCAAAAAAUUACUCAACUUUUGUAAACAUGGCCAUCUAGCGUAUUCAUCGAAUGAUAUAAUACUAACAGGAGAAAAUCAAAAUAGUCUGAUAUCAUUAUUUACUUUUCAGUGUAAAAUGUAUAACGUAACUCUUACAAUCGAAAAUGAUAUCUGUGAAGACAAUUAUUUAAAUUUGAAUGCAUGUGCAGUAGCUGGUACCAUCGCAAUAGGAUGUGGCCGGUCACAACUUGAAGAAGUGUUGUCAGCUAUAAAUUUGCCUAGUUUCACUGAAAAUACAUACGACCACAAUCACAAGGUUAUUGGCAAACAUCGUCAUCUCAUUGAGGUGAAAUGUCCCAUUACAGCGCAUAGAAUCGGCAUAGACGAAGCUAUUAGGAAGAAAAAAAUAACCGUCUGGAAAAUAAAUAAGAAUGGUCAAUACCACAUUAACAAAAAUUGGUAUUACCAAAUUCAAGGUCAAUUACAUGUAACACAAAGCAAAAAAUGUAUAUAUGCGGUAUGGGGCAGUGAAAAUGAAUCCCUUAGAAUCGAAAU